GAUUAGCUAGUUGGUGAGGUAAUGGCUCACCAAGGCGACGAUCCCUAGCUGGUCUGAGAGGAUGAUCAGCCACACUGGAACUGAGACACGGUCCAGACUCCUACGGGAGGCAGCAGUGGGGAAUAUUGCACAAUGGGCGAAAGCCUGAUGCAGCCAUGCCGCGUGUAUGAAGAAGGCCUUCGGGUUGUAAAGUACUUUCAGUUGUGAGGAAGGGGGU
rnacentral:rRNA from 1 species